CGCUGUCCAUCCAGGGUCCCUAAGAGGCAGUCAUGAUUCACUGCUUGUUUUCGUUGCUGGAUGAUCUACGGGUCAGAAUAUAAUUUCUGUUAUUUUUUAUUUUUUUCACAAUUUUGACAGCCUCCGGAUGAAACAAAAAGAGGUAGUCGUGCACACAAUCCACCGGAUGCAUAAUGGCAUGACACACAUGCAUGAUCCACAAGGACAUACCAACAAAAUCUUCUUGCACUGGCUAUUUUUAAACAAACUUUGUACCUUUAUUUAUAAAGGAAGGCGAAAGCCUGUUUGGUGAUCUUUAAACAAACCCACGCCUCCACGUCUCACUGCCCCGUCUAUCUCGUUUUUCUGUUUCUUCCUGUCCCAUUCUUUCCAGUUAAUUUACUGGCAUGACUCUUCUUUCCGGUGGAAUCCAUGGCCAUGCAUGACCUGAGCGCAAGCUCAAACCUAGGUUCUACCAUGACUGGAGACGGACAAUGUUCUUCAAGGCGACACCUCAAAGGAGAAAGCGACGAGAACAGCUCUGUCACCCUAAGAUCGAUCCUUAGACUUGCACCCGAGGAGCAUGAGCCAAGGGCGGGAGUAGAUAUUUAUUGCGGACGAUAGGGCUCAUAUGAUUUGUUGGCAUUAUUCAAUUUCUAUGUUGGCACAAAAC
rnacentral:lncRNA from 1 species